rnacentral:rRNA from 1 species
GACGAACGCUGGCGGCGUGCUUAACACAUGCAAGUCGAACGGAAAGGCCCUGCUUUUGUGGGGUGCUCGAGUGGCGAACGGGUGAGUAACACGUGAGUAACCUGCCCUUGACUUUGGGAUAACUUCAGGAAACUGGGGCUAAUACCGGGUAGGAGCUCCUGCUGCAUGGUGGGGGUUGGAAAGUUUCGGCGGUUGGGGAUGGACUCGCGGCUUAUCAGCUUGUUGGUGGGGUAGUGGCUUACCAAGGCUUUGACGGGUAGCCGGCCUGAGAGGGUGACCGGCCACAUUGGGACUGAGAUACGGCCCAGACUCCUACGGUAGGCAGCAGUGGAGAAUAUUGCACAAUGGGCGGAAGCCUGAUGCAGCAACGCCGCGUGCGGGAUGACGGCCUUCGGGUUGUAAACCGCUUUCGCCUGUGACGAAGCGUGAGUGACGGUAAUGGGUAAAGAAGCACCGGCUAACUACGUG